UGACAGUUGUUCUUGCUGAAACGGGACGAUAACUCCUUACCGAGACUAUGCAAGUAAAAUACGUCUCUUAUGCUACCUUUCUCUUGAGGGUAGAGAAAGGAAAUCAAGUAAA
rnacentral:ncRNA from 1 species